UUAAGUAUCCAAUGGCGAUAUCGUAACCAAUGAGGUUAUACCGAGAUGUGAUUAUUGCUAAUUGAAAAAAAAAUCUAUUUAACCCAUUAACGACCAAGCUGUAAAACUUAUUUUUUUAACAAAAGCCAUUGCUG